AAUGAACGCUGGCGGCAUGCCUUACACAUGCAAGUCGAACGGCAGCAUGACCUAGCUUGCUAGGUUGAUGGCGAGUGGCGCACGGGUGAGUAAUGCAUCGGAACGUGCCUUUUAGUGGGGGAUAACGUAGCGAAAGUUACGCUAAUACCGCAUAUUCUCUGAGGAGGAAAGCAGGGGACCUUCGGGCCUUGCGCUAGAAGAGCGGCCGAUGUCGGAUUAGCUAGUUGGUGGGGUAAAGGCUCACCAAGGCAACGAUCCGUAGCGGGUCUGAGAGGAUGAUCCGCCACACUGGGACUGAGACACGGCCCAGACUCCUACGGGAGGCAGCAGUGGGGAAUUUUGGACAAUGGGCGCAAGCCUGAUCCAGCCAUGCCGCGUGAGUGAAGAAGGCCUUCGGGUUGUAAAGCUCUUUCGGCUGGGAAGAAAUCGCACCCUCUAAUACAGGGUGUGGAUGACGGUACCAGCAUAAGAAGCACCGGCUAACUACGU
rnacentral:rRNA from 1 species